UACGUAGGGUGCAAGCGUUGUCCGGAAUUAUUGGGCGUAAAGAGCUCGUAGGCGGUCUGUCGCGUCGGAUGUGAAAAUCCAGGGCUCAACCCUGGACCUGCAUUCGAUACGGGCAGACUAGAGUUCGGUAGGGGAGACUGGAAUUCCUGGUGUAGCGGUGAAAUGCGCAGAUGUCAGGAGGAACACCGAUGGCGAAGGCAGGUCACUGGGCCGCAACUGACGCUGAGGAGCGAAAGCAUGGGGAGCGAACAGG
rnacentral:rRNA from 1 species